UUUUCUUGAGCAGCAGAGUUUGGAGGUUUGCUGGAAAGUUACACCUAUUGCACCCUCUGGAUGUCACCAGGGCUGGCACACAACUGAUAAAGUCUUUCAGGCUGAGAGCUUUUGCUUCUGAAUAUUGAUUAUCGAUCCCAGGAUCUGAACAGGGCAAGGCAAGAGCAAACACGGCAAAGCUCCCCUGAACACCCACAAGAACAUCACUGUCUAGCCAGCAAAGCUGAGACAAAGAGAAAAUAUUUGUCUGCAAAGUCAGCUUGAUUCAGGGCUCAUCAGACAACACACAGGUGUUCAAGUUACACAGAAAACUGCACAUGAAUUGUAUUGACUUCUUUGAAACCACUUUGACCUUGUUUCAACUAGAGACUGUCUCAACUAGACAACUGAUUGUUGUUCUAACUAUGAAAAUGUGAAGAGAUGAUAAGAAUGUAAGAUUUUUCUUUUAAUUGGGCUGGUUUGUGGUGUGUUUCAGUUUUGAUAUCUGUGGUUUUGGCAUGGAGCAUAUUCUUAAGCUCAGCACUAAAAUGAUUCCUUUGUUAAAAAAAUAGCAAAUUAUUGAUAUUAUUAAAGCAGAUUGGGGGCUGUU